CCGAAACCGAGUGAUCUAGGCAUGGCCAGGUUGAAGAUAAGGUAACACUUAUUGGAGGACCGAACCCACAUCCGUUGAAAAGGAUCGGGAUGAGCUGUGCCUAGGGGUGAAAGGCCAAUCAAACUCGGAAAUAGCUCGUACUCCCCGAAAUGCAUUUAGGUGCAGCGUCUAACGAAUACUACCGGGGGUAUAGCACUGAAUUGGCUAGGGGGUUUACCGACUUACCAAACCAUAUCAAACUCAGAAUACCGGUAAGUACUAUUAGGCAGUGAGACUGCGGAUGCUAAGGUCCGUAGUCGAAAGGGAAAGAGCCCAGACCAUCAGCUAAGGUCCCCAAAUCAAUUCUAAGUGGAGAAGGUUGUGGGAUUACUUUGACAUCCAGGAGGUUGGCUUAGAAGCAGC
rnacentral:rRNA from 1 species